GGGAGAGUGAUUUAGCAGGAAAGUGAUCUGGAGUCAUUAUCCCACCAUGGAAGCUGGUGGACACAAGUUCCCUGGCUUUUGGUGCGGGGUAAAAAGUUGAAGGUAGUGUGUUUCCAGUUGAAACAGCGCUUGAUGAAAUUUUGACCUGUCUUCCAAAGACAAAAUAUUCUCAGGAAACGUUUAGUAUGGCAUUCAGCUAGACUUUCACACCUGACUUGACUGGCUUUAACUUGCACCGUGUUACUUCAGACAAAUUUGAGAGCAUUAAAAAACCCUUUAAGGAUUCACAGCUCUGGGUUUCCAGUUUGCUGAAGAUCUGCUGCUGUCAGUAAAAAUUAUUGUUAAGUGACAUCAUGUAUGAUAUCAAAGAAAGAAAGAAAGAAAGA